rnacentral:rRNA from 1 species
GACGAACCGCUGGCGGCGUGCCUAAUACAUGCAAGUCGAACGCACGAAGUUGAAGAGCUUGCUCUUUAACCAAGUGAGUGGCGGACGGGUGAGUAACACGUGGGUAACCUGCCCAUUAGAGGGGGAUAACAUUCGGAAACGGAUGCUAAUACCGCAUAGUUUCAGGGAUCGCAUGAUUCUUGAAGGAAAGGUGGCUUCGGCCACCACUAAUGGAUGGACCCGCGGCGUAUUAGCUAGUUGGUGAGGUAAUGGCUCACCAAGGCAAUGAUACGUAGCCGACCUGAGAGGGUGAUCGGCCACACUGGGACUGAGACACGGCCCAGACUCCUACGGGAGGCAGCAGUAGGGAAUCUUCCGCAAUGGACGAAAGUCUGACGGAGCAACGCCGCGUGAGUGAAGAAGGUUUUCGGAUCGUAAAACUCUGUUGUUAAAGAAGAACAAGGAUGAGAGUAACUGCUCAUCCCCUGACGGUAU